AUGUAGUUUUACUAUCUGUGCCAGGCUAUAAAUGACACAGAUAAUAUCUAGUUAACGUUGUAUUUAAUUGAUCACAGCUUUCUGCUUUCCAUGUAGAGUUUUUGGUAAAAAACAUUACAUUUGAUUAUUUUGUCAGCAAAAAUUGGAUAAAAAUCUUUGUUUAUCUUUGUCAAACAGGCUGGACGUCCUCCCAAAGAUAUUCUUAAAGUUCUGAAUGAUGAUAUGAGAUAUAUAUAGAGGAGAGUAGUGCAGGACCAAGAGGUGUUCGGUACCUGUCUGUCCAGGAGGGAGGAGAGUAGAGCAGGACCAAGAGGUGUUCUGUACCUGUCUGUCCAGGAGGGAGAACAAGGCCUGGUGGACCUGGAGAGCAGAGUUCUGACUGAACCUGUCUCUCUCUCUCUCUCUCUCUCUCUCUCUGUCUCUCUGUCUCUCUGUCUCUGUCUCUCCAGCGCUCUGCACAGUCAGCAGUGGAGGACAGUGAUCAGAUCUUUACUGAGCUGAUCCGCUCCAUUGAGAGAAGGAGCUCUGAGGUGAAGGAGCUGAUCAGAGCCCAAGAGAAGGCUCAAGUGAGUCAAGCUGAAGGACUCCUGGAGCAACUGAAGCAGGAGAUCGCUGAGCUGAGGAAGAGAAGCACUGAGCUGGAGCAGCUCUCACACACAGAGGAUCACAUCCAUUUCCUCCAGAGGUAUCAGUCUCUCUCCAGUAUCAGUGUAUCUUCAGACUUACCCAGCAUCGUUGUCCGUCCUCUUCAGUCCUUUGGAGAUGUGAGUCAGACUGUGUCUGAACUGAGAGAGAAACUAGAAGACUUCCUUAAAGGAGAAUGGACCAAGAUCUCCACUACAGUGAAUAUAGUGGAUGUUGUACUGCCUCCAGAGCCCAAGACCAGAGAACAGUUGUUACAAUAUUCCUGUCAGCUCACACUGGACCCAAACACAGCACACACACCCUCUCUCUGUCUGAAGGGAACAGAAAGGUGACCUGUACAGGCCAAGUCCAACCAUAUCCUGUCCAUCCAGACAGAUUCACCAACUACAGGCAGGUUCUGUGUAGAGAGGGUCUGUCUGGACGCUGUUACUGGGAGGUGGAGAGGACUGGUGGUGUUGCUACAGCAGUCUCAUAUAAAGACAUCAGCAGAACAGAGGAUGAUGGUGCAUUUGGAUACAAUAACAAGUCCUGGAGUUUAUAUUACGAUAGUGUUGGUUAUUGUUUCAGACACAAUCAUGUUGAGACUAAAGUAUCAGGCCCUCAGUCCUCCAGAGUAGGAGUGUACCUGGAUCACAAGGCAGGUACUCUGUCCUUCUACAGUGUCUCUGACACAAUGACCCUCCUCCACAGAGUCCAGACCACAUUCACUCAGCCCCUCUAUCCUGGGUUUUGGCUCUAUGAUUAUAAUGGUUCUGCUGAGCUGGUUAAACUGUAAACUGAUUUGUUAUUAAUUAAAAUUCAAUCCAAUGUU